rfam:Asian citrus Psyllid, Diaphorina citri - Florida Strain, whole genome shotgun sequence.
GCCUAGUUAGCUUAGUUGGUAGUGCGUCUGCCUUGUAAGCGCUAGGCCGCGGGUUCGAUUCCCGCCCGGGG